UACGUAGGGUGCAAGCGUUAAUCGGAAUUACUGGGCGUAAAGCGUGCGCAGGCGGCUUUGCAAGAUCAGAUGUGAAAUCCCCGGGCUUAACCUGGGAACUGCAUUUGGUGACUGCAUGGCUGGAGUGCGGCAGAGGGGGAUGGAAUUCCGCGUGUAAGCAGUGAAAUGCGUAGAGAUGCGGAGGAACACCGAUGCGAAGGCAGCCCCUGGGUCGACACUGACGCUCAGGCACGAAAGCGUGGGGAGCAAACAGG
rnacentral:rRNA from 1 species